CCCUUAGAUGUUCUGGGCCGCACGCGUGCUACACUGAGUGGAUCAGCGGGUCAGGUUGCGCGAAAGUGUUUCCUAAUCUUUAAAUCCGCUCGUGAUGGGGAUUGACGGUUGCAGUUUUCCGUCAUGAACGAGGAAUACCUUGUAAGCGCGGGUCAUCAUCCCGCGCUGAAUACGUCCCUGCCCUUUGUACACACCGCCCGUCGCUCCUACCGAUUGAGUGGUCCGGUGAGGCUUUGGGAUCUGAGCGGAAAGAGCGUUUCGCUGUUUCUGCCCGGAAAACUCAGUCGAACCUUAUCAUUUAGAGGAAGGAGAAGUCGUAACA
rnacentral:rRNA from 1 species